rnacentral:rRNA from 1 species
CUACGGGAGGCUCCAGUGGGGAAUAUUGGACAAUGGAGGAAACUCUGAUCCAGCCAUGCCGCGUGAGUGAAGAAGGCCUUAGGGUUGUAAAACUCUUUCAAUAGGGAAGAUAAUGACGGUACCUAUAUAAGAAGCCCCGGCUAACUCCGUGCCAGCAGCCGCGGUAAUACGGAGGGGGCUAGCGUUAUUCGGAAUUACUGGGCGUAAAGCGCGCGUAGGCUGCUCAGAAAGUCAGGGGUGAAAGCCCGGAGCUCAACUCCGGAAUUGCCUUUGAAACUACUGGGCUAGAAUCUGUUAGAGGAUGGUGGAAUUCCUAGUGUAGAGGUGAAAUUCGUAGAUAUUAGGAGGAACACCAGUGGCGAAGGCGACCAUCUGGGACAGUAUUGACGCUGAGGUGCGAAAGCGUGGGGAGCAAACAGGAUUAGAUACCCCCGUAGUC